GACGAACGCUGGCGGCGUGCUUAACACAUGCAAGUCGAACGGAAAGGGCCUGCUUUUUUCGGGUGCUCGAGUGGCGAACGGGUGAGUAACACGUGAGUAACCUGCCCUUGACUUUGGGAUAACUUCAGGAAAGUGGGGCUAAUACCGGAUAUGUGCUCCUGCUGCGUGGUGGGGGUUGGAAAGUUUCGGCGGUUGGGGAUGGACCGGCGGCUUAUCAGCUUGUUGGUGGGGUAGUGGCUUACUAAGGCUUUGACGGUCAGCCGGACUAGGAGGGUGACAGGCGACAUAGGAGAUGGAGGCCGGCCAAAGUUACUGUGGGAGACAGCAGGGGGGAGCAUUCCGCAACGGCAGAACUGCUCAUGCACAAGCGCGCGAUGAGGAAUAUGACCUUCGUGUUGUAAACCGAGUUCGCCUGUGACGAAGCGUGAGUGACGUUAAUGCGUAAAGAAGCACCGGCUAACUACGUG
rnacentral:rRNA from 1 species